GCAGUCGAGCGGGCCCUUCGGGGUCAGCGGCGGACGGGUGAGUAACGCGUGGGAACGUGCCUUCUGGUUCGGAAUAACCCUGGGAAACUAGGGCUAAUACCGGAUACGCCCUUUUGGGGAAAGGUUUACUGCCGGAAGAUCGGCCCGCGUCUGAUUAGCUAGUUGGUGGGGUAACGGCCUACCAAGGCGACGAUCAGUAGCUGGUCUGAGAGGAUGAUCAGCCACACUGGGACUGAGACACGGCCCAGACUCCUACGGGAGGCAGCAGUGGGGAAUAUUGGACAAUGGGCGCAAGCCUGAUCCAGCCAUGCCGCGUGAGUGAUGAAGGCCUUAGGGUUGUAAAGCUCUUUUAUCCGGGACGAUAAUGACGGUACCGGAGGAAUAAGCCCCGGCUAACUUCGUGCCAGCAGCCGCGGUAAUACGAAGGGGGCUAGCGUUGCUCGGAAUCACUGGGCGUAAAGGGCGCGUAGGCGGCGUUUUAAGUCGGGGGUGAAAGCCUGUGGCUCAACC
rnacentral:rRNA from 1 species